rnacentral:tRNA from 1 species
GCUGGGGUGGCGGAAUUGGUAUACGCGCCAGUCUUAGGAACUGGUGCCGCAAGGCUUGGAGGUUCGAGUCCUCUCCCCAGCACAA